ensembl:lncRNA
CUGUACACCUUCUCCACCCCGAUUUCCCUCCUUACUAAGUGGUUUCGGGUGAUGCCAAGGCUCAGCAGGAUGAGCUCACAGAUGGGAGGAGCCAGAGUCCCUGAAUCACCCUCGCUCAGGCUAGGCACCGGGACUGCAGCCCACCAGGCUCCUCUGUCCAGGCAGGAAUACUGGAGUGUGUUGCCGUUUCCUUCUUCAGUGGAUCUUCGCUGCUCAAGGAUCGAACCCGCAUCCCCUGCACUGGCAGGCAGAUUCUUUCCCACUGAGCCACCAGGGAUCCCCAGUGUGGAGAAGCGACAAACGUCAAUCAAAGAGCCACUCAGUCGCGUGAAGAGGCACUGAUGCAGAAAGCGACAUGGCAGAAGUCACAGAAGGCUCCGGACAGGGACUGCUGGGUCCAGAUCUGAACCCUGUCAUUCACUUGCUCGGGAAUCACCGGCAGGGAACGCAAAUGCUCAGUGCCUCAGUUGCCACAUCUGGAACAUGGGAUGAUGAUGCUAAGAGCACUUACCUCAUAGGGUUGCUGUGGCGAUUAAAGACCCUGAUUCUUGACGUAAGACCGUCAAAUACCCUUGGAAUCUCCAGCGUGAUGAGUGUCUCUUUGGACGCUAAGGCAGCCCUCAGAAACCACAGAAGGCCUCAGAGCUAAAAUGUGCUCUUGACGUUGAAGUGUCUGCGUUGACAUAUACCCACUCCUGGAUGCUCCAAUAGGCUGUUGACCGAGAAGAUGUGUUGGGAACAGAUAUCCUUGACCAUCCUUUUGAG